GAUCCUGGCUCAGAAUCAACGCUGGCGGCGUGCCUAACACAUGCAAGUCGCACGAGAAAGGGGCUUCGGCCCUGAGUACAGUGGCGCACGGGUGAGUAACACGUGAAUAAUCUACCUCCGAGUGGGGAAUAACCUAGGGAAACCUGGGCUAAUACCGCAUAACACUUACGAGUCAAAGCAGCAAUGCGCUUGGAGAGGAGUUCGCGGCAGAUUAGCUAGUUGGUGGGGUAAUGGCCUACCAAGGCGAUGAUCUGUAUCCGGCCUGAGAGGGCGCACGGACACACUGGAACUGAAACACGGUCCAGACUCCUACGGGAGGCAGCAGUGGGGAAUUUUGCGCAAUGGGGGAAACCCUGACGCAGCAACGCCGCGUGGAGGAUGAAAUCCCUUGGGAUGUAAACUCCUUUCGAUCGGGACGAUUAUGACGGUACCGGAAGAAGAAGCCCCGGCUAACUUCGUGCCAGCAGCCGCGGUAAUACGAGGGGGGCAAGCGUUGUUCGGAAUUAUUGGGCGUAAAGGGUGCGUAGGCGGUUUGAUAAGUCAUCUGUGAAAUCUAUGGGCUCAACCCAUAGUCUGCAGGCGAAACUGUCGGGCUUGAGUAUGGGAGAGGUGAGUGGAAUUUCCGGUGUAGCGGUGAAAUGCGUAGAUAUCGGAAGGAACACCUGUGGCGAAAGCGGCUCACUGGACCAU
rnacentral:rRNA from 1 species